GCCUCAAGUUAUGUGUGACAACCCCCUGAAUUUAAGCAUAUUAAUAAGGGGAGGAAAAGAAACCAAC
rnacentral:rRNA from 3 species